UUUUGUGGUUCUUAAAUAGAAUCGAAACUAUUGAAUUAUUUAAAAAUUAAUGAACUUCUAUGCGGAAUCUUUAGAACAAUGUAUAUUUAAAUAAUUAAUUACAAAUUAAGAAGAUUUUAACAUUUUUACAAUUAUCGGGAUUUGACCCCUUGCUCAACGAUAAAACUCUCUUUACGUUGUUUGAUUUACACAUAUUUUCGAUUUUACAUGAUAAAAUGCGAUUUAUUUCAUAUCCAAUCGAGAAGGUUGUUAAUAAUUUAUGUUAAUAGAUAUAGAUCUGAUUUGUCUUUACAAGUGCUUAUGGUAAAGAAAGUAAUCUGCAUAAUAUGCAGAUUAACGAAUGAUUACAAGUAGUUAUCAAUUGCGACAUAAAACAUUCUUAACAUUUACUCUACGGGGAGCCACUUAACCUCUUCGGUACAAACACGGUACAAGUGUCGGUUAUAGUCGACAUCCUCUGCAUAUUCAUGGACGAGCGUCGACGUUGCGUCGAUUAAAGUUAACAAUAACAAUAACAAUAUGCAAACGUUUUUGCUCGUGGUCGUCAAG